UACAGAGGGUGCAAGCGUUGUUCGGAAUUAUUGGGCGUAAAGGGAGUGUAGGCGGCUAGGAAAGUCUUCUGUGAAAUCUACGGGCUCAGCCUGUAACGUGCAGAGGAAACUAUCUGGCUAGAGUGUCGGAGAGGAUAGGGGAAUACCCGGUGUAGAGGUGAAAUUCGUAGAGAUCGGGUGGAACACCAGUGGCGAAGGCGCCUGUCUGGCUGACAACUGACGCUGAGACUCGAAAGCAUGGGGAGCAACAG
rnacentral:rRNA from 1 species